rnacentral:rRNA from 1 species
AUUGAACGCUGGCGGUAUGCCUUACACAUGCAAGUCGAACGAUAGAGCGGCAACCCUUGAGAGUGGCGAACGGGGGAGUAAUACAUCGGAACGUGCCCAGUCGUGGGGGAUAACGUAGCGAAAGCUACGCUAAUACCGCAUACGACCUGAGGGUGAAAGCGGGGGAUCGCAAGACCCCGCGCGAUUGGAUCGGCCGAGGGCGGAUGAGGUAGUUGGUGGGGUAAAGGGCUACCACGCCUGCGAUCUGUAGCUGGUCUGAGAGGACGACCAGCCACACUGGGACUGAGACACGGUCCAGACUCCUACGGGAGGCAGCAGUGGGGAAUUUUGGACAAUGGGCGAAAGCCUGAUCCAGCCAUGCCGCGUGCGGGAAGAAGGCCUUCGGGUUGUAAACCGCUUUUGUCAGGGAAGAAAGCGUCUGGGUUAAUACCUCGGGAGGAUGACGGUACCUGAAGAAUAAGCACCGGCUAACUACGUGCCAGCAGCCGCCGUAAGAC